GGCUGUAGCUCAGUGGUAGAGCGCCUGCCUCACGCAUGUGAGGCGCUGGGUUCGAUCCUCAGCACCA
rnacentral:tRNA from 1 species